rnacentral:rRNA from 1 species
CCUACGGGGUGCUGCAGUGGGGAAUAUUGGACAAUGGGCGAAAGCCUGAUCCAGCCAUGCCGCGUGUGUGAAGAAGGCCUUCGGGUUGUAAAGCACUUUCAGUGGGGAAGAAAGCCUUGGGGCUAAUACCCUCGAGGAAGGACAUCACCCACAGAAGAAGCACCGGCUAACUCCGUGCCAGCAGCCGCGGUAAUACGGAGGGGUGCGAGCGUUAAUCGGAAUUACUGGGCGUAAAGCGCGCGUAGGCGGUCUGAUAAGCCGGUUGUGAAAGCCCCGGGCUCAACCUGGGAACGGCAUCCGGAACGGUAGGGCUGGGGGGAAGGAGAGGAAGGAAAAAUUCCCGGGGUGGGGGUGAAAGGGGUAGGGACCGGAGGGAAUACCGGGGGGAAGGCGGCCUUCUGGACUGACACUGACGCUGAGGUGCGAAAGCGUGGGUAGCAAACAGGAUUAGAUACCCGUGUAGUC